AGUGAACGCUGGCGGUAGGCCUAACACAUGCAAGUCGAACGGCAGCACAGUAAGGGCUUGCUCUUACGGGUGGCGAGUGGCGGACGGGUGAGGAAUACAUCGGAAUCUACUUUUUCGUGGGGGAUAACGUAGGGAAACUUACGCUAAUACCGCAUACGACCUACGGGUGAAAGCAGGGGAUCUUCGGACCUUGCGCGAUUGAAUGAGCCGAUGUCGGAUUAGCUAGUUGGCGGGGUAAAGGCCCACCAAGGCGACGAUCCGUAGCUGGUCUGAGAGGAUGAUCAGCCACACUGGAACUGAGACACGGUCCAGACUCCUACGGGAGGCAGCAGUGGGGAAUAUUGGACAAUGGGCGCAAGCCUGAUCCAGCCAUACCGCGUGGGUGGAGAAGGCCUUCGGGUUGUAAAGCCCUUUUGUUGGGAAAGAAAAGCAGCAGGUUAAUACCCCGCUGCUCUGACGGUACCCAAAGAAUAAGCACCGGCUAACUUCGUG
rnacentral:rRNA from 1 species